GACGAACGCUGGCGGCGUGCUUAAUACAUGCAAGUCGAAUGGAAAGGCCGUGCCUUUGUGGCGUGCUCGGUGGGCGACGGGGUGAGUACCACGUGAGUAACCUGCUUUUGAUUUUGGGAUAACUCGGGGAAACUGGGCCUAUUACCGGUUAUGAGCCCCUGCUGCAUGGUGGGGGUUGGUAAGUUUCGGCGGUCGGGGAUGGAGCCGCGGCUUGUUUGCUUGUUGGGCGGGUAGUGGCUCACCAAGGGUUUGACGGGUAGCCGGCUUGGGAGGGUGGCUGGUCACAUUGGGACUAGGAUACGGCCCGGACUCCUACUGAAGGCAACAGUGGGGAAUAUUGCACAAUGGGGGAGAGCCUGAUGCAGCGACGCCGCGUGCGGGAUGUCGGCCUUCGGGUUAUAAACCGCUUUCGCCUGUGACGAAGCGUGCGUGACGGUAAUGGAUAAAGAAGCACCGGCUAACUACGUG
rnacentral:rRNA from 1 species